AAUAACAGCGAGAUGAAAAAUAAUUAACCAGUCAACGGUCUCUAAUUGUAAUGCAAGCAUCGGCAAGCAUGAUUGAUUAUUCUAACAUUUGCUUCGUUGCGCUAUUCCUCGUCAUUUGCGUAUGCCCACUGCUGCAUGCGGAACAGGUAGUUAUCACCGAUGAAGAAUUUCAGGAAGCUUUACGGGUUGGCCAAGAGUACGUAAGGAAAUGGGAGCAACUGGAAGCUCAGAUAUUGGAGGUUGAUCGAAAAAGUAGCGAACAUCAUGGAACGAGUAGAGCCGAUGAAAAGUAUCACUCGCGUCGUUUCAAUCCGCAGCGAUACAACCCGGAAGCGAUGGCCCAGUCAAAAGAAGCCGCUGUCUAUCUGGUGGCUCGGCAGUACCUGAGCGACAAGUUCGGAAUCCCAGCCGAGAAGAUUGGAGAUUUUGAACGGUCGUCUACUUUUGAAAACGAUGGCAGCGACAGGCAAAUUUGCGACUUUAACUCCAAGUUUCGCACUUUUGAUGGGACGUGUAACAACGUCGGAGUUCCAUCGUUCGGGAAAUCCGGUACCAUUUUUAACCGACUCGUUUUCAACCCGAGCGAAGGAUACGAUGACGGUGUGGCGAAGAUUCGAAGGAGCCAAUUAACGCGGAGUCCGUUGCCCAGCGCCCGUCUCGUCUCCACUACAGUUUUGAACAACAAAAUUUAUUCCCGUCUCGACGUCUCCCUUCUGACGAUGCAAUGGGGACAAUUCCUCGAUCACGACUUGACGUCGACCCCGACUUUCACCAAAAGUGAUGGAUCCGAAUUUCUGUGCUGUUCGGCCCAACAAACUGGCGUCAAUGUGGCACCUCCUCACCCAGAAUGCCUUCCCAUUGCCAUCCCAAGAAACGAUCCUGUUUUCAAUCCGUUGGGUAACGGCCAAGUGACGUGCAUGAAUUUCAUUCGCUCAACAUUUGGAAAUAAUUUGGACGGAACUGUUCCCCGAAUGCGAUCACAGAUCAACGCUUUAACACACUGGAUCGACGGCUCGAACGUUUACGGAAGUUCAGCCGCAAAAGCCAGGUCCCUGCGAGAUCCCACAUCUGGUAGAGGCCGCUUGAGGACGUCCAUCACCAAUUUAGGUCGUCAAAUGCUGCCUCUAGGCAACUGCUCAGCUCGUUGUUUUGAUGCGGGCGACAGCAGAGUGAACGAACAGCCGCUACUUACAGUGAUGCACACCAUUUGGCUUCGCGAGCACAACCGCAUCGCUGAAAACUUGUGUAGAAUUUUUCCGAGACAGACGGAUGAGUUUUAUUUCCAACACGCCCGGCGAAUCGUUAUCGCUGAAAUGCAACACAUCAUUUACAAUGAAUACUUACCCGUCAUAAUUGGUCCCAAGAUGGCUGACAAAGUUAAUUCUGAAAGUGGCUAUUCAAAUACUUUGAAUCCGGCCGUGUUUACCGAGUUCUCCACUGCCGCCUUCCGCAUGGGUCACUCUCAGCUGAGAAGCUUUAUACGACUAUUCGAGAGAGACGGGCGGGACAGUAGAGAGAGUUAUCAACUCUCAGAUUCGUUCGAUGACCCCUCUCGGCUCUUAAGUUCCAACUUCAUGGACAAUGCUCUCCGGGGACUUCUUCAAGUACCUGCCGAAGAAGUGGACAGCUUUUUUGCAUUCGAUAUUACCAGUCAACUUUUCAAGCCAAAAGGGGCAACACUCGGGCUGGAUCUGACAGCUCUCAACAUUCAACGUGGAAGAGAUCACGGCCUGCCAACAUACGGUAAAAUGUUAACAUUCUUCGGACAACCUUUCCCAUCUAGAUUCGACCAACUGCUUCCGUUAAUACCGAAGCAAGUCGUCAACGCAAUGGAUCAGUGUACGAAUCGGUACAAGACAUUGACCUGUUUAUUGGCGGAGUGACCGAAUAUCCAAUGCCUGAUGCUGUGCUCGGCCCCACAUUUGCCAAUAUCUUCGCAUAUCAAUUUUCGAAUCUGAGGCGGAGUGAUCGCUUCUUUUACAAAUUCAAUGUCGAUCAACCCACCGGUUUCAGAUCAGGUCAACUGGCAGAAAUUCAAAAAGUUUCUUUGGCGCGAAUUAUCUGCGACAACAGCGACGGGACCAUUGGUCAAAUCCCACCCAAAGCUUUCCGCACUCCCCACGAAUUAUACAACAGAUUUGUACCGUGCAGCAGCAUUCCAGGCAUCGACUUCACCAAGAUGUUUCCGCUAUAAAUAUUGAAAGAAACGCAAUGACGGGCUUUUCCUACACUGUUUGGUUUGAUAUUAUUUAGUUUAUUAAUCUCUGAAGGUGGAGGAUGCAUGGGGUACGGUGUUGGCAGCAAGAAAAACGUAUACCAAUAAAUCAAUCAAAUUGCAAUGAUUAUUCAACGCAAUUUGGUCAUGAAAAAAGAAAGAUGGAAGUUAUUACUUUUAAAUUAACGAAUUAGAAGGUAGCACAAGUUGUUAUGCCGUUUGCAUUUCCUACCCAUUAACUACGGUAUACUUAAAGGAAUAGUAAAAUACUAGAGUGCGCAAUUCGAGUAAUAUGCCCAGGGAAAACUAAACUGAACAACAAAGUCGCAUCUGCCCCAACCAACCGAAAUGACAAGUUUUUUACGCGUUUGCAGAUUGCCCUAUCCGAAUGCCUCCCCGUUGCCAUUCCGAGAAAUAAUCUGUUUUCAACAGUGUACAUUUUUAUGGGUCAAUGCCGAAUGUCCUUUCUGUCGAGUACCUUUUUUUGCCGCUG
rnacentral:misc_RNA from 1 species